rnacentral:tRNA from 1 species
AAGGGAGACCUAAUUCGGGUAGGGGACGAAAAAAAAGUAGUCCCUACCAAGAAUCAAUCCCAAAAGGUCGGAACGAGGUAUGAGGCUUUCAAACUAGGUUCUGGGUUCAUAAAAGACCUGAAUCAGGAACAAGGGCUAUUAGCUCAGGUGGUUAGAGCGCACCCCUGAUAAGGGUGAGGUCCCUGGUUCGAGUCCAGGAUGGCCCACCUGCACAGGUGGCAAAAACAAGAGAAGCUCCGAAUCAGCACCUUAUCUUAUAUACAUAUAUAAGAGAGAAUGCUGGCUCUGAGUACAGAGUCCAGAGGAACCUUGAAAACUGCAUAGAGCUAGGUGAAAAAGCCAAAAAAGAAGACCGCAA